rnacentral:rRNA from 1 species
UACGUAGGGGGCUAGCGUUGUCCGGAAUCAUUGGGCGUAAAGCGCGUGUAGGCGGCCCGGUAAGUCCGCUGUGAAAGUCGGGGGGCUCAACCCUCGGAUGCCGGUGGAUACUGUCGGGCUCGAGUACGGAAGAGGCGAGUGGAAUUCCUGGUGUAGCGGUGAAAUGCGCAGAUAUCAGGAAGAACACCCGUAGCUAAGGCGGCUCUCUAGUACGGUACUGACGCUGAGACGCGAAAGCGUGGGGAGCGAACAGG